UCCAGAUUUACCUUUGCCAUGUUUACUCGCUUAAGCACUUCUAAUUUGCAAUCGAGUUAUGCGGGAAAUAAAGACAAAGGCAAUGAAGGUGACAGCAUCAAAACGAGCCUAAACGAAGAAAUGAAAGAAUGCCACCUAAACUUGAACUAUAUAAGAUGCAUCGUCGAGACAGACAAUCACCUGUGAAAGUCCCCAAGGAUUUUCCUAAUAAGUAUUCAGUUACUCUACUUGAUUGUGCAAAAGCACUCUCUGAAGAGGAUUUUUCAUCUCUGAAACUACUUUUACAAUGUAACUGGAUUGUUACAGUAAAAGAUCUUGAAAACAUACACAAUUCUGUUGAAUUGAUGUCUUUCAUGGACAGAAGAAGUUUAAUAACAGAUGCGAAUUUAGAGUUCUUAAGAAGAUGUUUUAAGUCCAUCGGCAGAAUAGAUUUGAUAAUGAAGUAUAUAGAUGGAUGUACAUCUUCCAACAACAGCUGCACUGAAAGACCCAAUACACUACCUUUAUUGAAUUGGCAGGCUUCAAGUGCACGUGGAAGUGCUUCAGGUUCUCAGGAGAACUUCACAGAAGCAAAAGAAUGUUUGGAUGGUGCUACAGCAGCUGACUGCAUGAUGGACUUGAUGGACGAUGAGGAAAGUGAUUAUAUCCCUGAUUCACAGGAUAGCUUGACAGAUGAUGACAAAAUAAAACUGACCUUGUAGGUAACACUGUUUUGGACAUUGAAAAUUCUUAUGAAUUCAAUAUUGAUAGAAUUUAAGUGAGGAAAUAGAGAAGAAGAAGAACACGAAGAAGUAGUAUUUUAUUGUGAAAAGUGGAGAAUUGAAGAAUGUAUACUUCAUUCAUCUCAGAACAGCAGUGUGAUACUUCAAGAAUUGAAUUAUAGACAUUUAUGAGGUUUCAAAAUUGCGAUAACAUGGUUAAGCUAUUAAGAUUUUUACAUCUGAAUGUGAUUAAAUAUUCUAAUCUUUGUUAAUGAUUAGUAAUAUAUAUAUUUAUAUGGCAAUACUGAUAAUGAAAGUGAUUUAAUAGGGCUCAAAUGGAUAUUUGUCAAAGUAUAAAGAUAUAAUUUAGUCAUGGACUUGGACAGUCUUAUUUUUUUUGAUUUAUGAACUAUUUGUAAUGUGUAUCACUUAAAUCAUUGUUCAAAAUUUUUGAUGGCUGAUCUACAAUGCUAUGUCUAUGAUGAUUAGAUGCAGAUGCAGCCUUUUUAGCUGAUCCUUGGAUGUAUUCUGAUAGUUCAAAUCAAUUACCUUCAGAAAUCUUGUAUUGCAAUGAGGUUUCAACAACACAUGGCUGAAAAAUGCUUUUGCCAGACAAUUUUUUAGUGCAGAAAUCAUAUUGAUCAUAAUGAGAACCGUAAUAAUUAAAUCAAGCAAGUCACUAUACAAUAUUUAAAUUUCAAGUCAUUCAAUGCAUGCUGGUGGUCUUUGGUUGUCAAUUUAAAAAAAUUUAUGAGACAGACAGUUUUGUCUUGGGUGUGUGAUUAUUUAGCAUUUCAUAAUCACUUUUGUAUAUAAGUUUUAGUGCAAAUGACAUAUGUUUCAUACAAACUCAGUAGCUUACUUAUCACUUUAUUUCAUCAUAUUUUUUUCUUUAACAGUACAUGUAGUUGUAUGCGAUUUAGUAUUUUAGGAGCUACGAAGGUCGAGAAGAUCAAACAUGACAUGUAUAAAUUAGGUUCUAAAUUUUAAAGACAUUUUUGUUACAGAUUUAUUGUGAAAAGGUUUAUACUUUGAGAUUAAAGUAAAGUUGGUGUCAGUCGUAUUGAAAUACAGAUCAAGUGCAUAGGAGGAUUCAGGGGGGCAAAUUUGGUUGAUUACAUACAUGACAUAGGGAAUCAUCUGUUUUAAAAACCUUUCCAGGCUUCUGUUUUUUUCACAUAUUUACACAAAAUGUAUAUUCCAAAAUUAAAAGAAUGAAAUUUCAUUGGCUUGAUAAUUACUAGAGCAGAAAGUAAAACGGGAGUUUUUGUCAUAUCCUUGUAAGCACAAUUGAAUUAGUCUUGAGUUUGUAAGCACAAUUGAAUUAGUCUUGAGUUUGCAAGUACAAUUGAAUUAGUCUUGAGUUUGUAAGCACAAUUGAAUUAAUCUUGAGUUUGUAAGCACAAUUGAAUUAGUCUUGAGUUUGUAAGCACAAUUGAAUUAGUCUUGAGUUUGUAAGCACAAUUGAAUUAGUCUUGAGUUUGUAAGCACAAUUGAAUUAAUCUUGAGUUUGUAAGCACAAUUGAAUUACUGUGAAAGUACUUUUAUUCGUGGGGUACCAAUUUUCGUGGUUUUCGUGGAUGACUCUAUCCACGAAUUUAAGUGUCCAACGAAAUAAAACAACCAUUGUCCAAACCAAGUUAAGAAAGAUCUCCAUGUAGGUUUGACUACUGAUAUGAUCUAAAGAAUGUAUUGAAUAACGCCAAAUCGGAGAAUACUUUACCAGUAAUAGCAGUUACAGAACUACACCUGCAUGCAAGAUUAUACUCAUUUAAUCUUUAAUAACCUAAAACUGUACAACUUUUGAUCUUUUAAUUCUCAUAAAAAAUAUUUUUGAUGAUGAAAGUCAGAUUUCCGGUAUUGAUAUGCUAGUAUGAUCAAGUGUUCAUUUUAUAUCCUCAUAGUUUUCGUACACAUGGGAAAUAAUAAUUUCAUGCUGGGCUUGAUUAUGAUAAAUAUCAUUUGACAAUUUAAGAUACGUUUAUAGCAUUUGUUUAUGUUGCUGUUUUCUUUAGGUGACAUGUUUAUGGCCUAAUUAACACCUUGCAUGGUCUUUAAUCUGUUGAUCACUUUAUCUUGGGUUAAUUAGUGUUGUCACUAGGAUUUACACGGUUCAAUGUUUACUUUGCAAUUUCCUUCAAUCCAGACUAUUUGUAACCUUUGUGUCUAAAGGCUUUAAUUUUUUCAAUUAUUUUUUUUUUAAGAAAACUAAAAUCCACGAAUUUAUAAACCCACGAACAUGUAAAUAUUGCUCAAACCACGAAAAUUGAUACCCACGAAUUAAAGUACUUUCACAGUAGUCUUGAGUUUGUAAGCACAAUCGAAUUAGUCUUGAGUUUGUAAGCACAAUUGAAUUAGUCUUGAGUUUGUAAGCACAAUUGAAUUAGUCUAGUCUUGAGUUUGUAAGCAAGAUUGAAUUAGUCUUGAGUUAUUAUCAUUGCACCUUUUAUAUCAAUUUAGUCAUGUAAUUAUUUGUAAAAGAAGUUGUGAAAUGAAAAUCAAUGUAUAUAAUUGUUAUUGCAUGUUUUGCUGAAAGGGCUACUGUUAGAAGGUUUUUUUUGUGUUUAUUCCAAGAGAUGCUGUAUCAUAGGCUUUUCAGUUUUCUAUAUCAACUAACUCAAGGGAUUAUUGUUGACAAUAUCUUUAAUAAAUAUUUGUUGUAAGCUUUUUAUUUUAAGGGCAUAUGAUACAGUUUUGAUUCUGUAUUUACAAGUUCAUGAAAAUUUGCAUAUAGGCUAUUUUUUACCUGAUUAAAUCAAAUAUGUAAUAAAAAAUAUACCUUCAUGCGCUACUUUUUGAGUAAAAUGAGGUCAAAAUUUGGUAUAUUUGCUCAAAAUUCAGAAUUGUGGCCGUAAUUUCUUUUUCGAAAGAAAGACAUAACGCUUUUGUUAUAAAAGAUAAACACAAUUUUUUUUUGUGAGAUAAUCGGUAAUUUCUGCAUUUUAUAAGUAUCAUAAAAAAUAUGCAAUUUUUUAUUCAGAAGUAACUCAUAUUUAUCAAAUGUUCAUCAAUUGAGGAAAAAACGUCAUUUUUUACUGCUUGUUUAUCAAAAUUUAAAAAAAUCCUCUAUUUACAGUUUUAUAAAAUUUGGGUCACAUAAUCUCCCUGCAAAAUGAAACAAAUUUCCGUUUUGAAAAAUAGACUUCCAUGAACUCGUUUUUAAAUUAAAUCGGUUUGAAUGACAAAAAUCAGUCGAAAAAUGCAUCUUUUCCCGAUAUGUUACAGUUUGACGUCGCGAAAAUAACUAUUUACGUUGGCAACGUCAUUACCUCCCCUGUAACUGUAUCGUAUGCCCUUAAUAAUUCUACGAGCAUGUGUUCCUUGUCUGAAAUGUUGAAAGGAGAUAAUCAAUCCUUUUAAUUUAAGUUUACAGUUCUUGCUUAUUUAUUUAUUUUUUUAUGUUAAAAGGGGAUUUUGAGAAAAAAUUAACAAGUUUCUUAUGGUACAUUGACACUGUUUGACAGAGUACCUAAAGGUAGCAAAAUCCAAAUUGGUAAUUUUGGCUAGUUUAUAUGUAAUUAACUGGACAAGUAUUUUUAAAAGUUGCAAACAUUACAUAGAUGCCAACCAUUACGAUUUUUGCGUAGUUUUUCCGAUUUUGCGAUAAAAAUUACGCUAUUACGGUCAAAGUCAAAUAGUUACGGAUUACCAAUCAUCUCCGUUCAAUUUUGUAAAACUCGGAUUUUUACCAUUACUUUUCCGUCCUGGUCGGGUAUUUAGAAAACGCCAAUGGAAUGCUUCUGGUUUCUCGGAAGUUAUCAUCCUAUUGUUGAGUAACUAACUAACUUCCGAAAAGACAAACUUGCAUUUCCCCUUUCUCUACUUCUCCUUGACAAAACGAAAAUGUACGAGUCGAGACCAUCUGAACAAUUAAUUAAUGGAAUACAUACUACAGACAACAUGUUUAACGACAAAUUUUAGUGCACAUCACUAUGCAACCACUCGUCAGUAAUUUUUAUCGAUAAAUGCACGUUUAUGAAUGAUUACUGAAAACAUUUCAAAAAUACAGAAAAUUUGAUAUUUUGUUACUGAUUGUGUCAAAAGGGGGUUGGCAUCUAUGACAUUAAGAUACGAUUCUUUAAUAUAAAAAUAGGUUUAAAAUAAUAAUUGCUUUUACACUCUAUUAGAAAUAUCUUAAAUGAUAUACUUUAGAAAUACAACAGAGUUCAAGAUUUAUUUACUGUUGUUUAGACAUGAUUGGAGAUAAUAUGUUAAAUCAGGGGGAGAUAAUUAAUACUGAAUGUUAAAAUUUAAACAUUAAAAACAUUCCUUAUAAUCUGGUAAUUAUUAUCAGAACCAAUAUUAUUUGAAAGGGGUGGGGGCAGGACCUUUUUUUAGGACUUCAGGGUCGAGAUUGGCCCUUUUGGGAUCUGGGAUUUCUUUUUUCAAAUUUGGAGAUGUCGGAAAAAAAAAAAUUAAAUUUGGAACCUCAGGAUUUCAUGUUUUUUAAGCCCGGGAUAUAGGGAUUAGGGCCCCUCCCACCCCUUCUUAUUUGAAUGCCUUGAAAUGUUUUUUGCAUGUUUUUUUUCAAAUAUACAUUUGUUUAAGUAGAUAUAGGAUGUGUAUCAUGUGUAUAAAGUCUUAGGACUCUAACAAAUUCCUGAAGAGUUAAAAUUGUAUCAUGCUUUUGAAAUCAACCAACUGUGUUCAGUUGUAUAUAAUGUGUUCAAGUGUUUGUGUAUAGAUAAAUAUGGAAUAUAUAUGUACAGUGAACAAUCUUAUAAACCAGUUUACCAUACAUAAAAGUAAAAAAAUUAGACAUUUGACAGCUUGUUCAUAUUUAAACAAAUGUUUUGGGGAUCUUAAACCUUUCUAUUUUUAUUAUAAAUCCUGUAAUUUGGGAAGCCCCAGACAAUUGUGGCUUUUACUUUCAGGCCCGUGUAUGAUAUUCAAGUUUCCAUGUAUUUAUUUUUUUUCAGUUGCCAUAUCUGAAAGGUUGCUGGUUUAAAGAUUUUCACUGUAUAUGCAUAUUUCUGAAUUUUGAUAUAAAAAAAAGAGGCAUGUAAAUUAAUUAAAUGCUUGUGAUAAA